GACGAACGCUGGCGGCGUGCCUAAUACAUGCAAGUUGAGCGCUGAAGGUUGGUACUUGUACCAACUGGAUGAGCAGCGAACGGGUGAGUAACGCGUGGGGAAUCUGCCUUUGAGCGGGGGACAACAUUUGGAAACGAAUGCUAAUACCGCAUAAAAACUUUAAACACAAGGUUUAAGUUUGAAAGAUGCAAUUGCAUCACUCAAAGAUGAUCCCGCGUUGUAUUAGCUAGUUGGUGAGGUAAAGGCUCACCAAGGCGAUGAUACAUAGCCGACCUGAGAGGGUGAUCGGCCACAUUGGGACUGAGACACGGCCCAAACUCCUACGGGAGGCAGCAGUAGGGAAUCUUCGGCAAUGGACGAAAGUCUGACCGAGCAACGCCGCGUGAGUGAAGAAGGGUUUCGGAUCGUAAAACUCUGUUGGUAGAGAAGAACGUUGGUGAGAGUGGAAAGCUCAUCAAGUGACGGUAACUACCCAGAAAGGGACGGCUAACUACGUG
rnacentral:rRNA from 1 species